rnacentral:lncRNA from 1 species
GAAUACAGGCCAAUGCCCAUAAGAAUUCAUCCCGAGAACUGAGUUCUAUAGCUCCUUAUCAAUUCAGUUUUACAAAGAUUUAGAUAACCUUAUAACCAUGCACUUUUGCAUACUUGGAUGGUGGCAAAUCAGUCCUGUGUGCUUUUUGUUUCUUCCCCACAACCUGUGAAUUUAAGUACCUAAGUCAUCUCCCAUUUCACUUUAGGUGCCAAUGCUCCUGAAUCAUCUUUAUCGAGAGAAUUUCCCAUCUUUAAGGGGGUUCUUUCUCGGUUGCAUCACUAAUGCUUCAGUGAUCUCAAUGCCCCAAUACCAACUUCUAAUUUCGAUGUUGCAACUAUCGAGAGUUUCAUGCAUUAGCUGUGGCCCUAAUCCACAUAGACCAAGGGCGAACACUCAUCUUUUGCAGCAUGGACUAUCAAGGUAUCUAAUUUUGUGCUUUCACACCACAUAUACAGAUAUCAAAACGCAUGCAGUCCAUUUGGUCGUUUCGAAUAUUUUGGGUUAUUUCAAGGACAAAAAAUACAAAUAUGGGCCUUUAAGUCCAAAGAUGACCAAGUAUUUCUAAGCUAAAAUGGUCUCUUGAUCAUCAGAUUUUGUUUGGAAUUUUUUGAUCUCAUGGUGGAAGACUAAGAACAUUUUGAUCUCGUAGUAGAAGACUCAAAAUUUGAUACUUCAGUUUCCAUGGCCUCUGCACUCGACUGAUCAAAGUUAAGAUUAUAGUCAGAGCCGGACCUGAG